rnacentral:rRNA from 1 species
UACGUAGGCAGCGAGCGUUGUUCGGAAUUACUGGGCGUAAAGAGCGUGUAGGCGGUGUUCCCAGUCUGUUGUGAAAUCUCCCGGCUUAACUGGGAGGGUGCAGCGGAAACUAGAAUGCUAGAGGGUGGGAGAGGUAAGCGGAAUUCCUGGUGUAGCGGUGAAAUGCGUAGAUAUCAGGAGGAACACCUGUGGUGUAGACAGCUUACUGGACCGCUUCUGACGCUGAGACACGAAAGCGUGGGUAGCGAACAGG